UCGUAACAAGGUCUCCGUUGGUGAACCAGCGGAGGGAUCAUUACCGAGUUUACAACUCCCAAACCCCUGUGAACAUACCAUUUGUUGCCUCGGCGGUGCCUGCUUCGGCAGCCCGCCAGAGGACCCAAACCCUUGAUUUUAUACAGUAUCUUCUGAGUAAAUGAUUAAAUAAAUCAAAACUUUCAACAACGGAUCUCUUGGUUCUGGCAUCGAUGAAGAACGCAGCGAAAUGCGAUAAGUAAUGUGAAUUGCAGAAUUCAGUGAAUCAUCGAAUCUUUGAACGCACAUUGCGCCCGCCAGUAUUCUGGCGGGCAUGCCUGUUCGAGCGUCAUUUCAACCCUCAAGCCCCCGGGCUUGGUGUUGGAGAUCGGCGUGCCCUCCGGGGCGCGCCGGCUCCCAAAUAUAGUGGCGGUCUCGCUGUAGCUUCCUCUGCGUAGUAGCACACCUCGCACUGGGAAACAGCGUGGCCACGCCGUUAAACCCCCCACUUCUGAAAGGUUGACCUCGGAUCAGGUAGGAAU
rnacentral:rRNA from 1 species